CCAAAUCCCAUCUUUGUAAAAAACAUCCAUCUUUUGCUCCAAGCUUCAACACCGAAAGAAUCGAAAACCCCAAAUACCAUCUCGGUAAAAAACCAUUCCUCUUUUGGUCCAAGCUUCGACACUGUAAGAGCCCAAACUCGCCACGUCCACUCUGCUUCUCCUCUUACCCCAAUAGUGCCUUAUGCUCUCCAUUUUUCGGAAAUGAGAAAUGAAAAUCUGGUUUUAGAAAGAGGUUAUUGGGUCUUGAGCUUUAGAGUUCUAGAUGGAGAAACGAAGAGGCGAAUGCAUGGGUGAUUUGUGGGUUUAUUAUCUGCUGGCACUUGCUGUAAGAGAACUAACGAAAGAGAGCAGGAAAUACAUAAAAAUGAUAAGUUUAGAGGGAGAUGUAAUGGUGAGUGAGAAAGAGAGACGCAUGGGUUAUCCUACGCUCCACCCCCGCAUUCUGAGAAUUUAGAGAGAGAGUGGAUAACUAGGGUUUGAUGCGGUGCACAUUUUAAGGAGGUUUUUGGUAUGAAUGUUUAGAGAGAGAAA
rnacentral:lncRNA from 1 species